CUCCGUGGGCAAUACUUGGUCCAUCCUAAGUCCAGCACCCAUUAUGGCAUCUAGAAGGGCCCAUUGAGGGUGAGCCCCCGUGGGGGUGGAUAUCUGUCGGCCCAUAUUGUCCUGAGUAGACCUCUUAAAGUCGGAUUGCUUGAAAAUGCACUCCAAAGUGGGUGGAAAACUCCAUCCAGGGCUAAAUACCUGCACGAGUCCGAUAGUAGACAAGUACCGCGAGGGAAAGUUGAAAAGUACUCUGAAGAGAGAGUAAAUAGUACGUGAAGCCGCCUGUAUGGAAGCUGGUGGAGUCAAGCUUCUUAUUGUGGAAAUUGGCAUGGAGAU
rnacentral:rRNA from 1 species